rnacentral:lncRNA from 1 species
AAUAAAUUUUAGACUCUUCUGAUAUCAUGACUCCUGCCAAACGCUAUGAAGGAAACCAAAGAAAAUACUCCUCAAAAUCAUCUGAUUGGUCGAAUCCUCCAGAGGAUCAGAAGAUCCCAUCAAGUCCUCCUAAAUCAAAGGAGCAGAAAGUUCCGAAGAAAAGUCCUCUGCUGACGGACAUGCUGGAGGACCUGAGAAAGGAGGAGGAGAGACAGAUGAGACUAGUAAAGGAGUGGGACAGAGAGAAAAAGGCGUGGAUGGAGGAGAGAGAAGAGUUAAAGAAGGAGAACGAAAGAAUUCGUAAAGAAGAGGAGAAGAAACAGACAGAACUGAAGGAGGAGUUAAAAAGGCUGGAGGAGAAGACGAAGAAGGACCGAAAGGUCAUUAGAAUGAUGAGAAGAGAGAGAGAGGAGAUGUUCAGCCAGAUCAGAGAGCUGGAGAUCGAGAAGAAAAGAUUCAUGGAAAGAGAGAAGGAGGAUAAAGAGGUUGAGAAGGACUGGACAAAGACAGAGCUGAAAGAAGAUGAGAAAGUGGUGGAAAGAAAGCAGGAAGAGAUACAGGUGGAGGAGAAAUGCUGGGUGGUGGAGGCGAAGAAAGAGAGAGAGAGGAAAGGAAAGACAGAGCAAGUGGUGGAGAAGAGGAGAAAAAGGAGAGAGGCGUGUCUCCAGAGACACAGAGAUAAAGGUGGAGAAAAGGAGAUGAAAGUCUCUGACUUCCUGAAAGAAAAGAGAGAGAGAAUCCAUCAGGAGAGACUGAGAAGGGAUUUUUAUUCCCAAUAAACUCCCAGCAUUCAAAUGUUG